rnacentral:rRNA from 1 species
CGCCUGUAGCAAUACAGGUGGCGCACGGCGCACGGGUGCGUAACACGUGGGUAAUCUGCCCUUCGAUGGGGAAUAACUCCGGGAAACCGAAGCUAAUUCCGCAUAACAUUCCUUGAACUUCGGUUUGGGGAUUCAAAGCCGUAAGGCGUCGGAGGAGGAACCCGCGCACGAUUAGCUAGUUGGUAGGGUAACGGCCUACCAAGGCUUUGAUCGUUAGCUGGUCUGAGAGGAUGGCCAGCCACACUGGAACUGAGACACGGUCCAGACUCCUACGGGAGGCAGCAGUGGGGAAUCUUGCACAAUGGGCGAAAGCCUGAUGCAGCGACGCCGCGUGGGGGAUGAAGCUUUUCGGA